rnacentral:tRNA from 1 species
CAGGGUGUAGCUCAGCCAGGCCUAGAGCACUUGCCUCGGACGCGAGAGGCCGCGGGUUCGAAUCCCGCCUCCCUGACCA